GACGAACCGUGCGAACGUUGUUCGGAAUCACUGGGCUUAAAGGGCGCGUAGGCGGGCAAGUAAGUCCGGGGUGAAAGCCUUCGGCUCAACCGGAGAAGUGCCUCGGAUACUGCUUGUCUAGAGGGAGAUAGGGGUCAUGGGAACUUCCGGUGGAGCGGUGAAAUGCGUUGAUAUCGGAAGGAACGCCGGUGGCGAAAGCGCAUGACUGGACCUCUUCUGACGCUGAGGCGCGAAAGCUAGGGGAGCAAACGGG
rnacentral:rRNA from 1 species